rnacentral:lncRNA from 1 species
AGGUCAAAGGAUCAUUUGCACAACUUCCACUAGAGAACAAUCAGCUAACAUGUAAAUAAGACUCUAUCAAAUAUUUUUUCAUAGAUCAAUUCAGUAAGCUCAUUCUCUAAUAAGCAUCCACAUCUUUAUAUUAGUGUCACCACACAAGUGGUCAUGAGAUCAACCACCCUCACCAAUGAGCAUACAUAAAAUAUGCCAGUCAUACUAGUAUCAUUAAUCUCCAACUUAAUGAAUCAGUGACUAA